rnacentral:ncRNA from 2 species
UUCUUAUCAUGAGAGGUGGAGGGAAAGGCCCUUUGAAGCCUCGGCAACAGGUUUCUAAACACUGUGCCAAUUCCUGCAGACAAUAGUCUGAAAGAUAAGAA